rnacentral:rRNA from 1 species
AUCUACCUAGUAGUACGGAAUAAUUGUUGGAAACGGCAACUAAUACCGUAUACGCCCUACGGGGGAAAAAUUUAUUGCUAUUAGAUGAGCCUAUAUUAGAUUAGCUAGUUGGUGGAGUAAUAGCCUACCAAGGCAAUGAUCUAUAGCUGAUCUGAGAGGAUGAUCAGCCACACUGGAACUGAGAUACGGUCCAGACUCCUACGGGAGGCAGCAGUGGGGAAUAUUGGACAAUGGGCGAAAGCCUGAUCCAGCCAUGCCGCAUGAGUGAAGAAGGCCUUUGGGUUGUAAAGCUCUUUUAGUGAGGAAGAUAAUGACGGUACUCACAGAGAAGUCCUGGCUAACUCCGUGCCAGCAGCCGCGGUAAUACGGAGAGGGCUAGCGUUAUUCGGAAUUAUUGGGCGUAAAGGGCGCGUAGGCUGGUUAAUAAGUUAAAAGUGAAAUCCCGAGGCUUAACCUUGGAAUUGCUUUUAAAACUAUUAAUCUAG